UAAAUUAAUUAUCGACGAGUUGACCAAGUAGAUGCUAACAAAAAUUGUAUUUUUAGUGCAAACGUACCCAUCAUUCACUGGUUUCUGCUGAACCCUAUACGAAGCAAGAAUCUGCAUUUUUUCUUUGUAAUUUAACUUCAACGCGGUGGAGUUGUUGGGGUAUCAAAUUAUAAUUUUCAUCCAUAACAAAUAUUUGUUUUCCUAUACAUGAGCUAUACUGAUAAAGAUGGCUGAUGUAUUUGUAGCUGAUGUUGCUGGUGGCCUGGUUUUCAAGCUUGUUUAACUUGCAGCUGAAGAAGUGAUUCAGGCUUGGAAUAUUCAGGAAGAUUUGGUAAUGCUGCGAGAAAGGUUGGAAGACAUUGAUGCUCUCUUGUCCGAUGCUGAUAGCAAAAGACUAAACAUGUUUGCUGUCCAGAGCUGGUUCAACAAACUGGCGGACGUUGCUCAUAUAGCUGAUGCUUUUAUGGAUCAACUUGCUUAUGAAGUCACUCGAAGAAAGGUUGAAAAUCGUAGUAAGGUGAGGGACUUCUUUUCUACUAAGAAGGGCGUACUUUAUCGUUUCAAAGUUGCCAAUAAGAUCAAGUCCAUCAAUUCUUCUUUCGACAAAAUUUUCGAAUGGGCUGGAAAACUCGGGCUUCAACCUGUGGCACAAUUAACUACUACUGUGCAGCCCAGGGAAAUGCGCAAUACUCCCCCCUUUGAAGACGAGUCACUCAUAGUUGGAAGAAAUGAUGAUAUAUCAUUUUUAGUCGAUGCAGUGUGCACAAAUCAUGCGGAGGAUUUACCAGUCAUUGCUGUAAUGGGGAUGGGAGGUCAAGGCAAAACAACUCUUGCUCGUAUGGUUUACAAUAGAGAUGUUGUAACCGAUAUCUAGAGCGGUUAUCUAUCAAGUUUUGUGGAAAUUUGGAGAGUUUGCCAGAGUUCCAUGACAACUUUCAGUACCUGGACAUAUAUGAAUGUCCUAAAAUACAAGAAAGAUACAGGAAGGGAAGUGGGGCGGAAUGGUCCAAAAUCCAACACAUCAAACAAAUACGCGGGCUUGACUGAUGAGAGUAACAUCAUACAGUGAUAUGGAGUUUUGAAGGAGUGAAAUCUCUUCCCAUUUCACUAGCAAAGCUUUCAUUUCUGGAGAGGUUAACUAUUGAGUUUUGUGAAAAUUUGGAGAGCUUACCAAAGUUCCAUGACUACUUUCAUUUCCUGUUGAUAUGUGGAUGUCCUGUAAUAGAAGAAAGAUACAGGAAGGGAAGUGAGCCGGAAUGGUCUAAAGUCCAACACAUCAGACAAGUACAUGGACUUGGUUGAUGAGAGUAAUGGCGUACAGUCAUGUUAAGGAAAUUUGAAUUAUGAGAUUAUGUCAAGUGUAGACAGAGAAGAAACUAAUAAUAAAGGUCCAGAAGCCAACUUGAACAUCAAACUCCUCAUAGCAGAACCACCAUUGCUCCCAUCAGUACUCGAAUUAUCAUCUGAAGCCACACCGAACUGAGUCACUCCGAUCAAGCCAGCUCCUUCACCUGCUUGGUCACAUCCAUUAGCUCUCGUUCCUCGCAAGGCUCGACAUUCGACAACUCUGAGCUGUGAACCAGUGAGCAAGACCAUGAUCACAAAGACUAGAGAGAAGCUCUUCAUUAAUAUUGUGGACAAACUCUUCAUUGCCAUCGUAAAUUCUGCAGUGUAGAUCUUAAUAAUAUAGUAGAUCUUAGUUUGUGAAGUGUAGAUGAGGAAUCAAGGAAUGAAGAUAUUGGUAUUAUAUAGGGAGCAAGAUGCAAGCAGUUAUGUGAUGUGAAAGCUUAUAUCCGCAGGUGUGUGAAUUAAAAGCAAGAACCAGACAAUUUGGAAACUCCAUGUAAAUCUUUUACUUUGAAAAUCCUGUGUCUCCAGUCUUGAUUCCAUGCUGUUUGAUAUUGACAUUUUGCAAAUAUAUUACUUCUCGU